UGAACAAUGUUUUCUUAUAUGUUUCCAGUAUACAAAAAUUCGUAUUUGGCAAAAUAGGUGAAUUAGAGACAUAGAAUUUUAACAAAAUAGAGUUAGAGUUUUUGUUUUUGAUGAGAUUCAAUAGAAUUGAUUUGGUUUGAUCAAUAGAAAGAAGAUUACAAGCUGAGUCUUGCAGAUUUCAUAUGUAUAGAUACUUGCAUUUCACCUUUGAAAACCUUUGGAGCUGUUCUCAUCACAAUGAGUUCUAUGAAGUUCCGUACUUUACCUAAACCACUUCGAAAAUAUUAACAUUAUAUAUUGUGCAAUACUUUUACCUAUAAGAGCAAUUUUUCUUGCAUGUGUACCGAGUUAGAUUAUACUCCUGGAUUUAUUUGAUUUCAUUCAAGGCUUUUGUUUCUGCAUUGACUCGACCCUUUUAUCUCUUUUUUUUUUUUUGUGUUCGACAGGGUGAACCAAGUUUCUACCUGUUUGGAUUCAUUAUGUAUUGCAGCCACAGCUGCGAGAGCGCUGAAGUAAGUUCUUCAAGGAAUUUUCCUAAUUUUUACAGUCCACCUUGGUCCAAGAUUCUACAGGGGCUCAUUGAUUCAAAACUUCAAAGCACCUGCUGAAGGAAGGUGCCAUCUGUAACUAAGCGUAUUCAACUUCACACGAAGUAACGACCACUUCAAAUUCACUGACUCACCAGUUUCCCUUCGCUUCAACAACCAGACCAAAUUUGUUAGUCCCAUGGCGGUGGUGUUAAGAACACCGUGGAACUUUCCAGAGGGACAACAGAUCCGAAGGGCGACAGAACUUUAACGGCGGCGUUUGGGAGAAGGCUACUCACAAGGAGGUGUACGGCGUUCAAGAAUAAUUAAUAUACCUUGAGGCUAAGGUCGUUUGAAGACGGAAGUGAGACGCCUCACGAACAUUAUUCUCACGCGGAUGAUGGUCAACGACGUGGAUAUGGAUGUUUUGGCUAAGGCGAGACUGGAUGAUCUCGAGGCUUUGAAGCUUGAUAAAUGCUCAGGUUCCUCUCUACCAAUGGACUUUCAGGAUCGUUUAAACACUGCAGUUGAAGACCAUAUAUAAAGGAAGAAGACUUUGUUGAGUAAGGAUCUCGGAAAAAUUGGGUUAAAUCAAUUUUUUUCUAAGGAACUUGAACCCUUUAUUUUUAAAGUGUUUAAUAUUAGAGAUGAGCAAUAUUUUCUGAUUUUGCGGACAUGAGUUAGAUGGAAUGGGGUAACAUUUUUUGACAUGGAUGAGAGCAACAAUUAUUUAUUCAACUCACUAGCGCAUCA